GAUUAACGCUGGCGGCGCGCAUAACACAUGCAAGUCGAACGAUGAAACUUAGUAGACUUCUUCGGAAAGACACUAAGCGGAUUAGUGGCGAACGGGUGAGUAACGCGUGAGUAACCUGCCUUACACAAGGGGAUAGCCUUUGGAAACGAAGAAUAAUACCCUAUAAAACCAUAAAAGCACAUGCUAGAAUGGUCAAAGUGCUAGCGGUGUAAGAUGGACUUGCGUCUGAUUAGCUAGUUGGUGAGAUAAAAGCUCACCAAGGCAACGAUCAGGAGCCGGCUUGAGAGAGUGUACGGCCACAUUGGGACUGAGACACGGCCCAGACUCCUACGGGAGGCAGCAGUGGGGAAUUUUGCACAAUGGGGGAAACCCUGAUGCAGCGACGCCGCGUGAUUUAGAAGGCCUUCGGGUUGUAAAAAUCUUUUGUAUAGGAAGAAAAUGACAGUACUAUACGAAUAAGGUCCGGCUAAUUACGUGCCAGCAGCCGCGGUAA
rnacentral:rRNA from 1 species